rnacentral:miRNA from 2 species
CUGUGUGAGGUUAGACCUAUC